rnacentral:rRNA from 1 species
UACGUAGGGGGCUAGCGUUGUCCGGAUUUAUUGGGCGUAAAGAGCGUGUAGGCGGCCAGGUAGGUCUGCUGUGAAAACUCGAGGCUCAACCUCGAGACGUCGGCGGAAACCAUCUGGCUAGAGUCCGGAAGAGGAGAGUGGAAUUCCUGGUGUAGCGGUGAAAUGCGCAGAUAUCAGGAAGAACACCCGUGGCGAAGGCAGAUCUCUGGGCCGUAACUGACGCUGAGGAGCGAAAGCGUGGGGAGCGAACAGG